rnacentral:rRNA from 1 species
UACGUAGGGACCGAGCGUUGUCCGGAUUCAUUGGGCGUAAAGAGCUCGUAGGCGGCUGCUCAAGUCGAAUGUGAAAACUCGAGGCUCAACCUCGAGCCUGCAUUCGAUACUGGGCGGCUAGAGUCUGGUAGGGGGAUCUGGAAUUCCUGGUGUAGCGGUGGAAUGCGCAGAUAUCAAGGAGGAACACCGGUGGCGAAGGCGGGAUCCUGGGCCAGUACUGACGCUGAGGAGCGAAAAGCGUGGGGAGCAAACAGG